rnacentral:snRNA from 1 species
GUGCUCAUUUCAGCAGCACAUUCUCUAAAAUUGGAACCAUACAGAGAAGAUUAGUGUGGCCCCUGUGCAAGGGUGACAUGUACAUUUGUGAAGCAUUGUGUUUAUCU